rnacentral:rRNA from 1 species
CCUACGGGAGGCAGCAGUAGGGAAUUUUGCGCAAUGGGCGAAAGCCUGACGCAGCAACGCCGCGUGAUCGAGACGCCCUUCGGGGUGUAAAGAUCUGUCAGUGGGGACGAAACUUGACGGUACCCACAGAGGAAGCACCGGCUAACUCCGUGCCAGCAGCCGCGGUAAUACGGGGGGUGCAAGCGUUGUCCGGAAUCAUUGGGCGUAAAGAGUUCGUAGGCGGCACGUAAAGUCUGGUGUUAAAGGCAGAGGCUCAACUUCUGUACGGCACUGGAUACUUGCGAGCUUGAAUGCGGUAGAGGUAAAGGGAAUUCCUGGUGUAGCGGUGAAAUGCGUAGAUAUCAGGAGGAACAUCGGUGGCGUAAGCGCUUUACUGGGCCGUAAUUGACACUGAGGAACGAAAGCCGGGGUAGCAAAUGGGAUUAGAUACCCUUGUAGUC